rnacentral:rRNA from 1 species
UACAGAGGGUGCAAGCGUUGUUCGGAAUUACUGGGCGUAAAGAGCGUGUAGGCGGCCAGAUAGGUCAGCUGUGAAAACUCGAGGCUCAACCUCGAGACGUCGGUUGAAACCAUCUGGCUAGAGUCCGGAAGAGGAGAGUGGAAUUCCCGGUGUAGCGGUGAAAUGCGCAGAUAUCGGGAAGAACCCCCGUGGCGAAGGCGGCUCUCUGGACGGUACUGACGCUGAGACGCGAAAGCGUGGGGAGCGAACAGG